UUUUAGUUGGUUAAUGGAUUGUGAGACUUGAUCAAAUAUUAUUUAAUUUUUGGGAAUUCAAUAUUCAUGCAAUUUUAUAUUUAAUUUUCAUAUUAUUUUGUUGUUAAAAUCUACGUUGAUUUUUAUUGCAAAAUAAUUAUUUGUUAGUUUGAAUAAUUUAAGUCCGUAAUUGCUUGGGUUAUUCUUACAUGAGGACACUUGGGAUCAAACCCAAGGAAAUUGCAUGAUCUAGCGUUAUCUCCAUACGUUUGGGUAGCUAGGAUUGGGUCUCUCUAUUUCUUAAUGCAAUUCACAAUUGUUUUGAUGCCUAAGGCCCAAGGACGUUCCUUGGCAAUUUGUUAAUUAGUAAUUAAUUAGAGGACGUUCCCUAAUUAAUUUAUUCCUAAGGAGAGAUAAUGGUGGUGAGAAGCGUCUUCCAUCUCCAUAACUAAUCUAUUGGGUCAACCCAAAAGAAUAAAGUGUCUGUGAUCAACUCCAACAACUAAAGUGGAUCCAAUAUUUCAACUAGAACUUUUCUCAUAUUGAUUUACUCUUUUAUUUUAAUUAUUUGCUUUCUAUUAUUACUCUCAUUAUUAGUUACUUCAAUCAAUCUCAAACCCCCCAUUUUACUUUUAUUGCAAUUUAUUUUUAUUCUGUUUCCAGUUUAUCUCAUUUGAUCCCAC
rnacentral:lncRNA from 1 species